rnacentral:tRNA from 2 species
GCUGGUGUGGCUCAGCUGGCAGAGCAGCUGAUUCGUAAUCAGCAGGUCGUGGGUUCAAAUCCCACCACCAGCUCCA